rnacentral:misc_RNA from 1 species
CGCAUGAGCAAUAGGACAGAUACCAUCCUAGAGUCCACCCGGGCACGCCAGGCUUCUGUAAGGGACAAUUGAUUCGGGCAAAAAAGGGACAAGGACCCCAACCGAUCAUGCUUCUACAUACAAGACUUCGAGCGACACUUGGGCGUCCGACGCCUGCAAGCCACAUAGGCGAAGGAAGGGCGGACGUCCAUGGGUGCUUCAGGGUCUACAUCGCACAAAACAUUUUCGCACGAGAUAGAGUAGGGACCGCGGGACUAGAGAAUUCCGUCAAAACAGGUAUGCUGCACAGGGGGCCAAGCCUAUCCAAGGCGAGAUAUUUAGCACUCGGACAGAAUUGAACAGGUGUGAACCAGCGGUUGUCGCUACCGGGGCAGGGAACCAACCAACCGGAACAUACC